rnacentral:tRNA from 1 species
ACCUGGCUGGCUAGUUGAUGGAGCAUGAGACUCUUGAUCUCAGGGUUGUGGGUUCAAGCCCCAUGUCAGGUA